GGGGGGCUGCUCCUAGUACGAGAGGACCGGAGUGGACGCAUCACUGGUGUUCGGGUUGUCAUGCCAAUGGCACUGCCCGGUAGCUAAAUGCGGAAGAGAUAAGUGCUGAAAGCAUCUAAGCACGAAACUUGCCCCGAGAUGAGUUCUCCCUGACUCCUUGAGAGUCCUGAAGGAACGUUGAAGACGACGACGUUGAUAGGCCGGGUGUGUAAGCGCAGCGAUGCGUUGAGCUAACCGGUACUAAUGAACCGUGAGGCUUAACCUU
rnacentral:rRNA from 1 species